UUAAUUGAAACCAAAAAGAGGUAUGCCACUGUUAAUGGCACUAAUGGGAGCCCCCCCCAAUUAAA
rnacentral:tRNA from 1 species